rnacentral:rRNA from 1 species
AACGAACGCUGGCGGCAUGCCUAACACAUGCAAGUCGAACGAGACCUUCGGGUCUAGUGGCGCACGGGUGCGUAACGCGUGGGAACCUGCCUUUAGGUUCGGAAUAACUCAGAGAAAUUUGAGCUAAUACCGGAGGAUGUCUUCGGACCAAAGAUUUAUCGCCUUUAGAUGGGCCCGCGUUGGAUUAGCUAGUUGGUGGGGUAAAGGCCUACCAAGGCGACGAUCCCUAGCUGGUCUGAGAGGAUGAUCCGCCACACUGGGACUGAGCCACGGCCCAGACUCCUACGGGAGGCAGCAGUGGGGAAUAUUGGACAAUGGGCGAAAGCCUGAUCCAGCAAUGCCGCGUGAGUGAUGAAGGCCUUAGGGUUGUAAAGCGCUUUUACCCGAGCUGAUAAUGACAGUAUCGGGAGAAUAAGCUCCGGCUAACUCCGUG